AUUUAAUGGAGAUGAUGCUGUACAAGAAUGUCACCUUAUUGUAAAUGGGCUAUUCAACGGGACAAAGAUGUUUGUAUCAGAAAAAAAGGAGACCGCAUCUGGAGAUGUUGACAGCUUCUAUAACUUUGCUGAGAUCCAGAUGGGGAUAUGAAGCGGAUUGUGGUAUUAGCCUCUUCCAACCUUUAUAUAGACAGUUUGAUAAUAUACUUAUGUAUGUUAGUCAUUUAGCAAUUAGUAUUU
rnacentral:lncRNA from 1 species